AAUGUAUAGCAAUAGCUACUUGCAUCAUUGUAAAUAUGAUGCAAGAUCGACUAUGUCGAAUAAAAUUCUAGGUAGAAUUAUGAUAAUGACAUUGUCUGCCUAUGUGUCUUGACCAAAUUACGUGCCAGCAGUCGCGGUAAUACGUAGAAGACUAGUGUUAUUCAUGUUUAAUCGGUUUAAAGGGUACCUAGACGGUAAAUCAAGCCUAAAAGGAAAUAAAUGAAGGGACUAAUUUACUAGAGUUACUUAUGAGGGGGUAUUAAAGUACUGCUGGUGUAGAGAUGAAAUUCUGUCAUACCUCUUUUCAAUAGAAAAAUAAUGGCACAGGUAUAGGCGAAAGCAUCCCCUUAUGUGAUAACUGACGUUGAGGGACGAAGGCUUUGUGUAGCGAACAGGAUUAGAUACCCCAGUAGUCAAAGCAGAAAAUGAUGAAUGUCAUAGAUUAGAUAUAUAAGUUUAUUCUAUAAAUGAAAGUGUAAGCAUUCCACCUCAAGAGUAAUUUGGCAACAUUGGAACUGAAAUCAUUAGACCGUUUCUGAAACCAGUAGUGAAGUAUGUUGUUUAAUUUGAUGAUCCGCAAAAAACCUUACCACAAUUUGAAUAUUUAUAUCUUUUAUUGUUUUUCUUUUUAACUUUUUCUAAUUUUCUACUUAAAAGAAAAAAAAUAACAAGAAAAAAGAGACAAUAAGAUAUAUUUACAAGCGUUGCACGGCUGUCUUCAGUUAAUGUCGCGAGACUAUGGUUAGUUCCAUUAAAUUAACGUAAACCCUUACUUUAUUUUUAUAUAGAGUAGUUCCCCGCUAUAUUGGAUAUGAUAACAGG
rnacentral:rRNA from 1 species